UUACACACCCAAGCGUUUGAUGUGCUAUCGGCUUGCAUACGCUAGACGAAAAAACUCAACUUUUGGCGCCCUUGGUAGAAAAAUGAAAACGGUUCAAUACUACAAAGAAACUAUCAAAGAAGCACAGUAGUAGAUCAAACUUUUGUGAAGUAGGGGGUCAGAUAUGUAGUGUUGUUACCUGACAGCGGAACCGGCUGAAACCGGUUUUCUCUUUUGUUUACAAAAGACGCCAUUUUACUAUUUGGGACCUCGUUCAAAAUUUCUAGAAUAAGCUUAACUAUGGGAGAAAGUGUAGCUGCGAAAGUGCACUAAAGAUCUUGUAGAAUUAUUGGUAGCUUAAAUCUUGCAGACACAACAAACUGUACAAAUAAUUUGCUACAGCCGAUUCUCUCUCAAAUUUCGCGCCCGGGACGACAACAAUGGGGCCACGCCAGCUCAUUUCCAUAUCACUGCCGUCACAGGUAAGUUGUUGUUGUAAGAACGUACGGAGGCGAGAACAAACCGCUCUGAUGUUCGCCGACAACCUAAUUAUAAGUCUAGAGCAUAGCUAUUCUUCCACGUGAAAAUCUGAACAAAACGUACGAUUCGUAUUUUGAGCCAUAUCUACCGAUAGUUUACACUUAAGCUGACCAAAAAAACUUCAUCGUGAAGAAAAAACUAUCGCCGCCAUCUUGGAGAAAAAUCAAUCGAUUCUCUUCUAUCGCUGUGGAACUAUGGGACAAAACGUAGUGAAAAUGUGACAAAAUUAGCUAAAAUGCCGAAGACACUCAAAACUGCAUAAGGUGAAAUAUUCUUAUAGGUCCUGAAGUCUAAAGCAUAGGUCAAAGCUUUGCCAGGUGCGUAAAAUAGAGCAUUAAAUUCAAAGUUCAAAGUUCAGUGACCCAAAACGACCUCCAAUACGCACAUGGAACAGCGGGCGAUUUGAAGCGUUUUGCACAUCGUCAUCCCAAAUAAUUGAGAUAUUUUUAAGGCGAACUAAUGUAAUUUUCGUGUGCAUAUAUUUUUUUCCUGAUGUGAUAAUCAUAUCGUGCUUUAUAUUGGAUGAAAUUUGUGUUGUUUUUUUCACACCGCCACGGCUCGCGCGGGCCGGUUUGUGGGCGGAGCACUCUGGCUUGACAACGCGGAUAAUACCCUAGCAACGUGACCACCGUGUCAAGUCAAGGACAUUUCCUGGUGAUCAUUCCUUAAUUCAGUUCUGAGUGCAGACACUGCUAUCAUAGACUCCUGUUGUAUUCACUACCAGUGCUUUGUACAGCCGUGAGGUAUAUUACGGUUUAGCAAAAUGAGCCGUUUGGCUUCCUACAGCCACGUGAAACACACCGAUAUUCUGUGGACACUUGUUGUGCUUCUACUGUUCAAUGGCGAGCCCAUUUCGGGACAAGAUACAGACGACUGCAUUGGUGUGAUCUGUCAAAAUGGCGGGAUCUGCAUCGACGGCUUCAACAAUUACACUUGUAACUGUACUGCAGGGUUUGAAGGCGUUCACUGUGAAACAGGUAAGUUCUACGAAGAAAGAGACUCUUUUUGUACAAUCAUCGCUAAAUUCGCACCAACUUCACCUUCUUCAGGGUAAUUCUGACUGGUUCACAUUGUACUGCAGCAUAGAUGUCGCUGCUCACAGCUGUGCAUUGCUUGGCACCUAUGCAGCAGUGCAAUAUGAACCGAUUAGAAUUUCUGUGCAGAAUUUGAUAGACGGUCACCGAAACGCUGGUUGUGAAUAAAGUCAUGGCUGUGUAAAAAGAGUCUUUUUAUUCAUUGACGUGUCAAUCGGAUGGUACUUUACGCAGAAUUCCUUUGCAGAAUUUUGGAAAAUUCAUGUUCUUUGGUACAUAAGGAGAUUACUAGUAAAUAUUGCAUUUUGAAACCAAAAUGUCCACAGAAAAUAUCCGAAACCUUACUGUAUUGGCUUGUCAAGCCUUUCAAACUUUUUCUGUUCUGCAUUCAUGACCAUUUCUCCCUCUGGAGUCUGAUCUUACCUCCACGGUCUGUGCUAUUCUGAUUCAUGUAUCUCUUAUUCUGAUUGGUCAGAGUCUUGUGUGUCUACUGGGACACGAACUGGGACGCAAACCUGCAUCCAUCAGCUUAACAAUCGCAUGCACAACCACUAAGCUAUGAGAGUCUGCAUCACGUAAUGGUUACAGUAUUUUUAACCGAAGCGAACGAGAUGGUUUUAUGAGGUAGUUAUAGCAAAAGACCAGGCGUUAUCACACCAUAAACACCGAGGUAUGAGGGAGAUGGGUACACAUGUACAGGUAAUAGCAUUCUUUAUUAUGUGUGUGUGUGUGUGUGCGUGUGUGUUUUAUUAAUGGGGGGGGGGAGAAAAGUGAAUAAUUUUACUUAUGGGUUCUCAGUAAUAAAUUGCCUAUGGCUGUGCUAUUCUUUUAUGAAUGUUGGGGUAUUUUCUAGCGUAUCGAGCGGUCUCACUAAAUACCGAAAACAACCGAAAACAACCGAAAACAACUCGACAAAUACUGAAAACAACUCGAAGCCACCUAAAAAAUAUCAAAGCAAUCAUGAACAACCUAUCAGAACCCGAAAAAAGCCGGAAAAUAACCC